AUUGAACGCUGGCGGCAUGCCUAACACAUGCAAGUCGAACGGUAACAGGCCCUUCGGGGCGCUGACGAGUGGCGGACGGGUGAGUAAUGCUUAGGAAUCUGCCUAGUAGUGGGGGAUAACCCGGGGAAACUCGGGCUAAUACCGCAUACGUCCUACGGGAGAAAGCGGGGGACCUUCGGGCCUCGCGCUAUUAGAUGAGCCUAAGUCCGAUUAGCUAGUUGGUAGGGUAACGGCCUACCAAGGCGACGANCGGUAGCUGGUCUGAGAGGACGACCAGCCACACUGGGACUGAGACACGGCCCAGACUCCUACGGGAGGCAGCAGUGGGGAAUAUUGGACAAUGGGCGCAAGCCUGAUCCAGCGAUGCCGCGUGUGUG
rnacentral:rRNA from 1 species